rnacentral:rRNA from 1 species
GACCUUACCAGGUCUUGACAUACUAUGCAAAUCUAAGAGAUUAGACGUUCCCUUCGGGGACAUGGAUACAGGUGGUGCAUGGUUGUCGUCAGCUCGUGUCGUGAGAUGUUGGGUUAAGUCCCGCAACGAGCGCAACCCUUAUUAUCAGUUGCCAGCAUUAAGUUGGGCACUCUGGUGAGACUGCCGGUGACAAACCGGAGGAAGGUGGGGAUGACGUCAAAUCAUCAUGCCCCUUAUGACCUGGGCUACACACGUGCUACAAUGGAUGGUACAACGAGUUGCGAACUCGCGAGAGUAAGCUAAUCUCUUAAAGCCAUUCUCAGUUCGGAUUGUAGGCUGCAACUCGCCUACAUGAAGUCGGAAUCGCUAGUAAUCGC